GAUGAACGCUGGCGGCGUGCCUAAUACAUGCAAGUCGAGCGAACAGACGAGGAGCUUGCUCCUCUGACGUUAGCGGCGGACGGGUGAGUAACACGUGGAUAACCUACCUAUAAGACUGGGAUAACUUCGGGAAACCGGAGCUAAUACCGGAUAAUAUAUUGAACCGCAUGGUUCAAUAGUGAAAGACGGUUUUGCUGUCACUUAUAGAUGGAUCCGCGCCGCAUUAGCUAGUUGGUAAGGUAACGGCUUACCAAGGCGACGAUGCGUAGCCGACCUGAGAGGGUGAUCGGCCACACUGGAACUGAGACACGGACCAGACUCCUACGGGAGGCAGCAGUAGGGAAUCUUCCGCAAUGGGCGAAAGCCUGACGGAGCAACGCCGCGUGAGUGAUGAAGGUCUUCGGAUCGUAAAACUCUGUUAUUAGGGAAGAACAAAUGUGUAAGUAACUAUGCACGUCUUGACGGUACCUAAUCAGAAAGCCACGGCUAACUACGUG
rnacentral:rRNA from 1 species